rnacentral:rRNA from 1 species
GAUGAACGCUGGCGGCGUGCCUAAUACAUGCAAGUCGAGCGAACAGACGAGGAGCUUGCUCCUCUGACGUUAGCGGCGGACGGGUGAGUAACACGUGGAUAACCUACCUAUAAGACUGGGAUAACUUCGGGAAACCGGAGCUAAUACCGGAUAAUAUAUUGAACCGCAUGGUUCAAUAGUGAAAGACGGUUUUGCUGUCACUUAUAGAUGGAUCCGCGCCGCAUUAGCUAGUUGGUAAGGUAACGGCUUACCAAGGCAACGAUGCGUAGCCGACCUGAGAGAGUGGUCGGCCACACUGGAACGGAGACACGGUCCAGACUCCUACGGGAGGCAGCAGUAGGGAAUCGUCCGCAAUGGGCGAAAGCCUGACGGAGCAACGCCGCGUGAGUGAUGAAGGUCUUCGGAUCGUAAAACUCUGUUAUUAGGGAAGAACAAAUGUGUAAGUAACUAUGCACGUCUUGACGGUACCUAAUCAGAAAGCCACGGCUAACUACGUG